rnacentral:rRNA from 1 species
UACAGAGGUCUCAAGCGUUGUUCGGAUUCAUUGGGCGUAAAGGGUGCGUAGGUGGCGCUGUAAGUCGGGGUGUGAAAUUUCGGAGCUUAACUCCGAAACUGCAUUCGAUACUGCGGUGCUUGAGGACUGGAGAGGAGACUGGAAUUCCUGGUGUAGCGGUGAAAUGCGCAGAUAUCAGGAAGAACACCAAUGGCGAAGGCAGCUCUCUGGGACGGUACUGACGCUGAGACGCGAAAGCGUGGGGGAGCGAACAGG